GCUGACUUCAGCUAAAUUUAAAACUUUCAUUCAUAAAUGCAGAUGAGGAGAGCACCCAGAUUGUUACAGCACAGUGGCAGUCCCAGCACACAAAUGUGUCUGCACGCAUGCACACGCCAUCAAAAGGGAGUUUACUCUGUAAUAGUGAAGAAUCCCUAAGUAUCAAUGAGUCUGAAAGUACUCAUAUUCUGCCAAGAAUAAAG
rnacentral:lncRNA from 12 species